ACGCUCGACACCUACGGGGCAGCAGUUGGGAAUAUUGGACAAUGGAGGAAACUCUGAUCCAGUGACGCCGCGUGAAGGAAGAAGGUCUUCGGAUUGUAAACUUAUUUUGUCAGGGAAGAAAAAUGACUGUACCUGAAGAAAAAGCACCGGCUAACUACGUGCCCGCAGCCGCGGUAAUCUGAGCGGGCUGGCAAGGC
rnacentral:rRNA from 1 species